UACAGAGGGUGCGAGCGUUAAUCGGAAUUACUGGGCGUAAAGCGCGCGUAGGCGGCUUCGCAAGUCGGGUGUGAAAUCCCCCAGGCUUAACCUGGGAACUGCAUUCGAGACUGCAUUGCUAGAGUAUGGGAGAGGGAAGUGGAAUUUCCGGUGUAGCGGUGAAAUGCGUAGAUAUCGGAAGGAACAUCAGUGGCGAAAGCGACUUCCUGGACCAAUACUGACGCUCAUGUGCGAAAGCGUGGGGAGCAAACAGG
rnacentral:rRNA from 1 species